AACAAGGCGUACCUGCGGACCUGCGGAGGGAUCAUUACCAAAAAACAAGCUCUUUGCUUGGGGUCUCCCCUAGCAAGGUUCUAAACCCUUUGUGAACCAAAAAACCUUUACUGCUUCGGUAGCUGGUUGUUAAAACCGUAAGCCUGCCGGUGGCAACAAACUUAAACUCUUUGCACUUAACUUAAUUGUCGACCCAUAUUUUUUGAAUAAAAUCAAAACUUUCAACAACGGAUCUCAGAU
rnacentral:misc_RNA from 1 species